rnacentral:rRNA from 1 species
AGCAGUAGCCGCGGUAAUACGUAGGGUGCGAGCGUUAAUCGGAAUUACUAGGCGUAAAGCGUGCCCAGGCGGUUGUGUAAGACAGGUGUGAAAUCCCCGGGCUUAACCUGGGAACUGCGCUUGUGACUGCACAGCUAGAGUAUGGCAGAGGGGGGUGGAAUUCCACGUGUAGCAGUGAAAUGCGUAGAGAUGUGGAGGAACACCGAUGGCGAAGGCAGCCCCCUGGGCCAAUACUGACGCUCAUGCACGAAAGCGUGGGGAGCAAACAGGAUUAGAUACCACUGUAGUCCCUGUCUCUUAUAC